AAAAAAAAAAAAAAAAAAAAAAAAGAAUUUGAAAAGUCACUUAUCU
rnacentral:ribozyme from 1 species